rnacentral:miRNA from 1 species
CUGGGCUAAGAUUCGCUUA